GCUGGUUGUACUCACAGAGGAUGGAUGAUGGAUGGAUGGAUGGAUGGAUGGAUGGAUGGAUGGAUGGAUGGAUGGAUGGAUGGAUGGACGGGUGGAUUAAUGUACAACAUGAUCCCCAGAAUAAGCAUGGCAGUACAGCUUCCCUUGCUGCUCAUGCCUUCCCAGCUCAUGCCUUCCCUAACUCCUACCAUCAGAAAGCCUAAUUAAGAGUAGUUAUAAUCUAUAAUAAUUUGCACACUCUGGCAACUGAGAUCUACAUUUUUAAGCACAAGCUUACUUUUCUUCACUCAUCUGCUGACCUGUGGUUAUACAAGUCUCUCUAUACUUUGUUUUCAUUAGACAUUUAUCCCUCAAGUAAAGAGUAGAAACAGAGUAAGCAACUAUGUCUGUGUUGCAUAGAACUGGUAGAAAUGACUGAUUUUUUAAAGUAAUGAUUUAAUCAAUUUGCUUUUAAAAGGUUUUUAAAGAUUUGGAUUCUUUAUUAUUACACUUGCCUCUUUUUCUUGAAGAUCUUGUGGGGAAAAUGUAUAGAAGAAUCCAUUAUUCCCUUCUUGCCUGGGGCUGCAAUUAUACAGCUAGACCAGAUAGUACCUAUUACCUGCCUGCUUCCUGUUAUUUUUGGAAUGAUCUUAAACAAGAAAAACAUCUCAACAAGAUUUCAGUAGCUCACUUUGUGCCUUGGAAGCUUGGAACCAGUGUGACUAACCAUGGGUUCUUUAAUUUACUUUGAUGCAGUAGAAAAAGGUCUCACUGCUGUUACUGAAAGCUUGAUUGCAUCUCUAUGUCCAAUCAUUAUAGACAAAUUGAUGAAGUCACAAUUUAUGGUAGUAGCCAGGAUCCAUGGCAAACUUUUAAAAGUGCUUGAUAAAUGGAUGUAUAUAAUCACACACAACAGAAUGCUGCACUAUAAAUAUAGCUACUACAGAGAGACUCCACGGUACUACACCCUGCAGAAUCACAGCAACGUUUAUUCAGGUUGGAAGAGGCGUCCAAGAUCACCAACA